GUGGGUAACCUGCCUUAUAGUGGGGGAUAGCCUUUCGAAAGGAAGAUUAAUACCGCAUAAGAUUGUAGUAUCACAUGAUAUAGCAAUUAAAGGAGCAAUCCGCUAUAAGAUGGACCCGCGUCGCAUUAGCUAGUUGGUGAGGUAAUGGCUCACCAAGGCGACGAUGCGUAGCCGACCUGAGAGGGUGAUCGGCCACAUUGGGACUGAGACACGGCCCAGACUCCUACGGGAGGCAGCAUG
rnacentral:rRNA from 1 species